AAUUCUAAUGAAAAGCAUAGUUAAGAUCCACAUCCAAAAUCCAGACAAAUUAUUAAGAAUCGUACCGUACACUGCAGGAAAAAAGGAUUUAAUAUGAUGUCAGUGUACCAGCACAUGUUGUUUAGCAUUGCGUUUCUGAGAAGAUUUGCAACAUCUUACACAGAAACCUUUUUGCUUCCUGCUGCCGCCAAAUAUGUUAAUGGACAUCAAGAAAAGAUGUAUAUAUGGCCAGAACUAGAGAAAAAGCAUUAGGAAAUUUAAGGCUCAGGAUGUAAUUUUAGCCCACAGAAGCAGUUUCCAAAUGAUGGGAAGCAAAGUGCAACUCUAUUUUGCUUUGGUCAUACUUCAUCCUAAGUACUGUGUGCUAUUCUGGAUUUCUUUCUUAUCCCACAGGCCAGGUUACAGAAUAAUGGGUUUAGAUUACAAGAAGGAUGUUUCUAAUUAAAUGUGAGGAGAAAAUCUCCUACAUUAAGAGUAACAAAAUAAUUGGCUCAGGGGUGGUGGACUCCAUUUUGCUAGAGAUGUCUAA